rnacentral:rRNA from 1 species
AUUGAACGCUGGCGGCAUGCCUUACACAUGCAAGUCGAACGGCAGCACGGGUGCUUGCACCUGGUGGCGAGUGGCGAACGGGUGAGUAAUACAUCGGAACGUACCUUAUCGUGGGGGAUAACGCAGCGAAAGCUGUGCUAAUACCGCAUACGCCCUGAGGGGGAAAGCGGGGGAUCGAAAGACCUCGCGCGAUUAGAGCGGCCGAUACCUGAUUAGCUUGUUGGUGGGGUAAAAGCCCACCAAGGCGACGAUCAGUAGCUGGUCUGAGAGGACGAUCAGCCACACUGGGACUGAGACACGGCCCAGACUCCUACGGGAGGCAGCAGGGGGGAAUUUUGGACAAUGAGGGCAACCCUGAUCCAGCAAUGCCGCGUGAGUGAAGAAGGCCUUCGGGUUGUAAAGCUCUUUUGUCAGGGAAGAAACACCGGCUCUAACACAGUCCGGGAAUGACGGUACCUGAAGAAUAAGCACCGGCUAACUACGUGCCAGCCGCCGCUGUAA